rnacentral:rRNA from 1 species
UACGGAGGGUGCGAGCGUUGUCCGGAAUCAUUGGGCGUAAAGGGCGCGUAGGUGGCGGGCCAAGCGUGCGGUGAAAGCCUGGGGCUCAACCCCGGGUCGGCCGUGCGAACUGGUUUGCUUGAGCACUGUAGAGGCAGGCGGAAUUCCGGGUGUAGCGGUGGAAUGCGUAGAGAUCCGGAAGAACACCGGUGGCGAAGGCGGCCUGCUGGGCAGUAGCUGACACUGAGGCGCGACAGCGUGGGGAGCAAACAGG